AGUGAACGCUGGCGGUAGGCCUAACACAUGCAAGUCGAACGGCAGCACAGUAAGAGCUUGCUCUUACGGGUGGCGAGUGGCGGACGGGUGAGGAAAACAUCGGAAUCUACUUUUUCGUGGGGGAUAACGAAGGGAAACCUACGCUAAUACCGCAUACUACCUACGGGUGAAAGCAGGGGAUCUUCGCACCUUGCGCGAUUGAAUGAGCCGAUGUCCGAUUAGCUAGUUGGCGGGGUAAAGGCCCACCAAGGCGCCGAUCCGUAGCUGGUCUGAGAGGAUGAUAUGCCCCACUGGCAGGGAGCCACGCUCCAGACUCCUGCGGGUGGGAACAGUCGGGAACAGUGGACAGUGGUCGCAAAUCUUCUACAGGCAUAGGCAGUGCGUGUGUAGGGCGCCCGGCUGGUAAAGGACUCUUGUUCGGAAAGACCCGCACUCGCCUUGCACCUCGCCGUGCUGACGGUACCCAGGCAAUAAGCACCGGCUAACUUCUUG
rnacentral:rRNA from 1 species